rnacentral:rRNA from 1 species
GUGAACGCUGGCGGUAGGCCUAACACCUGCAAGUCGAACGGCAGCACCGUAAGCGCUUGCUCUUACGGGUGGCGAGUGGCGGACGGGUGAGGAAUACAUCGGAAUCUACUUUUUCGUGGGGGAUAACGUAGGGAAACUUACGCUAAUACCGCAUACGACCUACGGGUGAAAGCAGGGGAUCUUCGGACCUUGCGCGAUUGAAUGAGCCGAUGUCGGAUUAGCUAGUUGGCGGGGUAAAGGCCCACCAAGGCGACGAUCCGUAGCUGGUCUGAGAGGAUGAUCAGCCACACUGGAACUGAGACACGGUCCAGACUCCUACGGGAGGCAGCAGUGGGGAAUAUUGGACAAUGGGCGCAAGCCUGAUCCAGCCAUACCGCGUGGGUGAAGAAGGCCUUCGGGUUGUAAAGCCCUUUUGUUGGGAAAGAAAAGCAGCAGGUUAAUACCCCGCUGUUCUGACGGUACCCAAAGAAUAAGCACCGGCUAACUUCGUG